UGUAUCAAAGAACCACCAAACUGAAAACCCCCAUCGCGACUCAAAAGCCCUAAUUUGGCGAUCCCUCUGCUCCCUCCACUUUCGUCGCUCGACGCUCUCCCUCUCUCUUUUGACGACGGGUCUCUCUCAGAGAAUCGAGGAGGGCAAACUGGGGGAAUCUCCUUCUUGGAUUCGAGUAGGGUGAGCUUCUCUCGUCUCAAAGGGUAUGACGGACAGUUCUUCCCUUAAUACGGAGAAUAUUGGUGAUUGUAGAAUUGGUGAAGAAAAGGGGAUUGAGACGGACAGGAUGACAACUGGAAGUAUACUGCAAGAUGUUUCUCAUUUUGGCGAUAAUAACAUCACUGAGGUAAAGGAGAAUAAAGAGAACGAAACAACAGUUGAAAAUGAUAAAGCAACUCAGGAGAUAGCAAAUGAUCUCAAGGAGUGUCCACAAAAACGGGACAGAGAAGUUAUCAUUCUUGACGAUGAGGAUGAUCAUUCUACUGAUGCCAAAAGAAGCAUUGAGGAUGAAUUAAGUAGGAAUCCUAACAUAAAUGGGAAAAAUGAGAAAACACCUCGGGUUGGUCUGGUAUUUACGUCAUAUGAUGAACUUAACAACUACUUCAAGCAAUAUGCGUUGCGUGUUGGAUUUGGGGUAGCAGUAAAGAAGUCCUCGUUCACCAAAAAAGGAGUAUGCCGACGGUUGGUUCUAGCAUGUUCUAAGGGAGGCACAGGAAGAAGUGAUGCAAUGUACCAAGCUAGACGAACAGCAAAAACUAAUUGUGAGGUUAUGAUAUCAGCAAAGUCGCGUGGCGAUGGGUUGCUACAUCUAGUGGAUGUUAAACUUGAACACAAUCAUCCAGUCAAUCCAGCAACUGCUAGGUUCAUGAGAUGCUACAAGAGGAUGCCCGAUUCAAUGGUAGAGGAUGCGGUCGAACAGAAAUUGGAAAGUUGAAGCUCGCGGAAGGAGAUAAUGAAGUAAUUCAUCAAUUUUUUGCAUCCAUGCAGAGUAAGAACCCAAAUUUCUUUUAUUUGGUAGAUUUUGAUGAGCACGAGCGUCUGAGGAAUCUUUUUUGGGCUGAUGCUAGAUCUAGGGCAGCAUACCAGUAUUUUGGCGAUGUAGUUACAUUUGACACGAGCUACUUGACUGAUAAAUAUGAUUUGCCUCUCGUUUCAUUUGUUGGGAUGAACCAUCAUGGCCACUUAGUGUUGUUGGGUUGUGGUUUGGUUUCUGAUGAGACUACUGAGACCUAUAUUUGGUUAUUCAAGGCUUGGCUCACAUGUAUGCUAGGGUGCCCUCCAAAUGCUAUCAUCACUAAUCAGUGCAAAUCUAUCCAAAAUGCAGUUGCAGAGGUGUUCCCAGGAACACAUCAUCGUCUGUGCCUAUCUCAAGUUUUAAAAAAGAUUCCUGACAAAUUGAGAGGGCUUGCAGAAUUCAAAGCAAUCAAGAAGGCAAUAAAGAAAGUGGCAUAUGACUCUUUAAGGGUUGAAGAGUUUGAAGAAUAUUGGCAAAAGAUGAUAGAGACAUAUGAACUUGAAAGUAACGAGUGGCUUAAAAUACUGUAUGAGGAUCGGCACUCUUGGGUCCCUGUUUUUCUUAAAGACAACACAUUCUGGGCUGGGAUGUCGGUUUCACAACGUGGUGAGAGUGUAACUACCUUUUUUGAAGGGUGUGUGUUUCCUAGAACGUCGAUAAAGCAGUUCUUCAGUAAAUGUGAGAUGGCCUUACUAAGCAAAUUCAAGAAGGAAGCUCAAACAGACUCUGAGACUUUUCAUAAGACGCCGCUUAUAAUAUCCAAGUUUUAUAUGGAAGAGCAGUUAUCAAAGGUAUACACCCUUAACAUGUUCAAGAAAUUCCAAGAUGAACUAAAAGCCACUAUGUAUUGUCAUGUGACACCAGUUAAGGUUGAUGGUUCAAUCUUUACCUUUGAGAUUAAAGAAUGUUCAUACAUUGAAGAUGGUAAAAGGACAGAGAGCAAGGAUUAUCAAGUCUUGUUCAAUGCAGAUGACGUUGUGGUGCAAUGCAUCUGUGGUUUUUUCAAUUUCCAUGGUAUUCUGUGUAGACACGUGUUGUCUGUGUUUAAGUUUCAACAAAUUUUUGAGAUUCCAUCUCACUAUAUCCUUGAUCGAUGGAAAAAGGACUUCAAGCAGUUACAUGCUAUGGCUCGCUCUUCAGAUGAUGCUGUAGUUAAUAAUCUCCCAGAGCGUUAUGAUUAUCUAUCCAGUAGGUUUCUUCAGCUUGUGGAUGUAGGGUUCAUAUCUGAAGAUAGAUACCGACUUUCUUUAAAGUUGAUAAAAGAGAUAGAGAAGUCUCUUCUUGAUGACACAUCUGGCAGGGACAAUCAACCUAAGCUUCUCUGUUUUGACACUCAUUCAAACCAAAAUGUUCAGAAUCUCUUGGUUUCACAGCUGGGAUUCACUGAGGAUAACGCGAAUAGCAAUUCUAAUUUGCUGCCUGUGAAGCGGAGAGGCAGGCCACCGAAAAAGGGAAGAGUGUGUAACGUUGAGCCCUUAGUUCGGACAAAUAAGGAACAGGAUUUUCUCAGGUCAGCCAUGAUAGCAAAUGAGGACAAUGUUCUUCAAGCUGCUCCAACAGUUUCCCAUCUUGAUACGCAUAUAGGACAGGGAGGCAUCAAUUUAAUGGAAGACUUAAACCCAAACGACUUGUCAUUUGGCACACACUUUGACUUGCAUGUUAACCAGCAGCAUCAUAUGAACAGUCAACCAAGGCUACAAUCAAACAAUUUGUUACAGGGUCAGUAUGAUCAACAGACAAUGGUAAAUCAGAAUGGGUUUCCAUGGAUUUAUCAGCAAAUCUUACAGGAGGAUCAGAUUUCAAAAGUUCCUUCUGUUCGAAGGACUGGGUAGAACAGGGGAAAGACAUGGAAGUAUCUUGGUUGAAAACCUGUUGUGGAUAGCUGAAAUAAAUCCUCUAACAUGACAUUACUUUUGAAUGAGCAAAAAGGAUAAGAAAAAAAAAUGUGGAUAUAUAGUUGCAAAUAUCUUAUUUGGAAAUUGUGCAAAUCAACGGUUGCUGGAUGUGAAGGCAUUGGAGGUUUGGAUUCAGUCUUGAUGGAAAAUUUUGAGGGAUUAUCUGACAACAGUCUAAUUUUAUUGUCAUGGUUCUGGGUACCGAUGCAUACAACUAGCCCGAUGGUUUCUGAAUAAUCUCGAGGGAGUUAAGAUUCCUGCCGUUGCUUGGAAGUAAAGAUCGCGUCUGAGAAAUUUUGUUUCUGGGAAAUUAGAAAUAAUUUUAAGUUCUCGGUUGAAGAAUAAGUGAGGAAGCUUUUAUAACGGAUGCCGACGACUGGGACCAAACUCAGGAUUUCAAGCAAGCAAUCAAUAAUUUGCUGGUUAGACUUGUCGUUUGAAGAAACAACUUACAAACAAGUAAUUACUUCACGAUGUUGAAGCCCUGCAUGCAAUAUGCUACGACAUUAUUUGAUAUCAAAAAGCUUAACUCACGUUGCACGUACAGCUGAUCGAAGUUUAUGAAACUGUACCUGGUUUCGUUUUGACCAAGCUCCCAAGCGCGAUAUGAAGAUAAUUGAUUUUAUUUUGGGUAAAUUACACUAAACCCUUAAGAAUUUCAGCGUUUUGCAGUAACCACCCCCCAAACAAGAAGGAAAAAAAAACAGGGCGCAGACCCAUUAACUUCUAAAAUUGCGCUACAACCCCAAUAACUACUGGAAUUGCAGAAAGCCUGAACAAGUUUCCGUAUUUUGAAGACGACCCUCAUGACGGCGUUAAUCUGCAUUUAGGAUCUACGUGUGUCGUCAACGCAAAAUGUGGGCGUCAUCGUGGGGGUUAUUUGCAGAUUGUUGGAACUUGCUGGUGAUUCUGCGAGAAUGUUGGAACUUACUGGUGAUUCGAUUCUGCAAUUCCAAUAGUGAUUGGGGUUUAGUGUAGUUUACCUCUUAAAACAGACAAUCUCAACUAUAUACGAUACAUGAACUAGAGCAGAUACGGUUGCCAUUGUGUUAUUUUUUCUUCUUCUUUCCCUGUCCAUAAAACAAUCUCAAACGAACAACCUUCA